UGAUAGCGCAAAGGACCGGUCCUAUUGCUUACGUUUGGAAUAAAUUUAUGAACUCGCAGUCACGGUGUUCUUUAAUCCGAACUUUAAAGUUUCCGGUAUCCAUUCUACGUGGUACCAUGGAGAGAAUAAAUGGAUGGAGUUCGCUAUCCCUCGUAUUUGGAAGGAACCGUCUAACCAUGAUACAAAUUGUUAUUUUUGUAUUGUGGAUUUGAAAAGCGGUUUUAAUAAGUCUUACUGUCCGGAUGUACCAUCAUCACGUGCUCCAGUUCCCCAUUCCCAUGAACGUCCAAUUCCUACGUUGCAAGGAUUUGCUUGCAAUGAUAUAAAAGGAUUCGUCAAUGAAAUCGGGAUUCCGCUAAACGUGAAUGAGUGGCGCUUAUUUAUCGAUGGAUCAUCAAAAAGUCUCAAAGUGAUGUUGUUGCACAACCAAGCAAGAUACAAGCAAUAUCCAUCUAUCCCGAUAGCACAUUCCGUUCUACUGAAAGAAAGUUAUAACACGACAAAAUUGCUUUUAGAUAAAAUUCAAUACAAUAAAUAUGGCUGGGAAGUAAUAGGUGAUUUCAAGAUGAUUGGCUUUCUAAUAGAUUUGCAAGGAGGAAUCACUGAAUAUCCUUGUUUUCUUUGCCUGUGGGAUAGCAGAGA